rnacentral:rRNA from 1 species
UACAGAGGUCCCAAGCGUUGUUCGGAUUCACUGGGCGUAAAGGGUGCGUAGGUGGCGGGGCAAGUUUGGUGUGAAAUCCCGGGGCUCAACCUCGGAACUGCACUGAAUACUGCCUUGCUUGAGCACUGGAGAGGGAACUGGAAUUUACGGUGUAGCAGUGAAAUGCGUAGAUAUCGUAAGGAAGACCAGUGGCGAAGGCGAGUUCCUGGACAGUUGCUGACACUGAGGCACGAAGGCUAGGGGAGCAAACGGG